rnacentral:rRNA from 1 species
AUGGCCACAAAGUUCUUCCUCCUUGCCUUUUUGGCUCUGGCGGCUUCCCGUGCUCUUGCCUCCGACCCAGGCCAGCUUCAGGAUUUCUGUGUCGCUGACAGGACAUCCCAAGGUAUGUAUAACCACACAUGCAUGCGUACUUGUGGUGAAAUGA